rnacentral:tRNA from 1 species
GUAGCUCAGGGAUAGAGCUCUUGCCUGGCAAGUGUGAGGCCCUGGGUUCAAUCCCCAGC